rnacentral:rRNA from 1 species
GACGAACGCUGGCGGCGUGCCUAAUACAUGCAAGUCGAACGCAGUUGCGAGCGGUGGAGUAAAGCGUAGGUAACUGCAUCAUAGCGGGGGGUAACUCUGGGAAACGAACGCUAAUACCGCACAAUGUGAGAUGGCCCUGAGUUAGAUUAGCUAGUGUGUGAGGAAAAGGCUCACCAAGGCGACGAUAAAUAGCCGACCUGAGAGGGUGAUCGGCCACACUGGGACUGAGACACGGCCCAGACGCCUACGGGAGGCAGCAGUAGGGAGGCUUCGGCAAUGGACGGAAGUCUGACCGAGCAACGCCGCGGGAGUGAAGAAGGUUUUCGGAUCGUAAAGCUCUGUUGUUAGAGAAGCGGUAACUAACCAGAAAGGGACGGCUAACUACGUGCCAGCAGCCGCGGUAAUAC